AGCAGCCGCGGUAAUUCCAGCUCCAAUAGCGUAUAUUAAAGUUGUUGCAGUUAAAAAGCUCGUAGUUGAAUUUCGGGAUCAAUAUGUCGGUCGUGCCUUGGUACGUACUGGUAUCAUUGGUCUCUCCUUUCUGACGAACCAUGAUGUCAUUAAUUUGGUGUUAUGGGAAGUUAGGACUGUUACUUUGAAAAAAUUAGAGUGUUUAAAGCAGGCUUUAGCUUGAAUACAUUAGCAUGGAAUAAUGAAAUAGGACGUUUGAUCCUAUUUUGUUGGUUUCUAGGAUCGACGUAAUGAUUAAUAGGGAUAGUUGGGGGCAUUAGUAUUCAAUUGUCAGAGGUGAAAUUCUUGGAUUUAUUGAAGACUAACUACUGCGAAAGCAUUUGCCAAGGAUGUUUUCAUUAAUCAAGAACGAAAGUUAGGGGAUCGAAGACGAUCAGAUACCGUCGUAGU
rnacentral:rRNA from 1 species